GUAUGAUGAUACCGAUAGUGUGUCAGUAAGCCAUGGGAAAAGACGGAAAACAGGUUGUGUGGAAAGCAAACGGGGACAUAACAAAAAGCACAGUGGGAAGAAAAGCAUUGUCGGGGAUAUUUCUGGGUGUGGAAAUAAAAGAAAACGUGGU